rfam:Triticum urartu cultivar G1812 contig1181540, whole genome shotgun sequence.
GUGAUACUCCCUCCGUCCGAAAAUACUUGUCAUCAAAAUGAAUAAAACGGGAUGUAUCUAGAUGUAUAUUAGUUCUAGAUACAUCUUUUUUUAUUCAUUUUCCAGACAGAGGGAGCAGUAA